UGCCAGCAGCCGCGGUAAUACGGAGGGGGUUAGCGUUGUUCGGAAUUACUGGGCGUAAAGCGCACGUAGGCGGAUUAGUAAGUUAGGGGUGAAAUCCCGGGGCUCAACCCCGGAACUGCCUCUAAUACUGCUAGUCUUGAGUUCAAGAGAGGUAGGCGGAACUUCCAGUGUAGAGGUGAAAUUCGUAGAUAUUGGAAAGAACACCAGUGGCGAAGGCGGCUUACUGGCCGAUAUUGACGCUGAGGCGCGAAGGCGUGGGUAGCGAACGGGAUUAGAUA
rnacentral:rRNA from 1 species